UACGUAGGUGGCAAGCGUUGUCCGGAUUUACUUGGCGUAAAGAGCGCGCAGGCGGUCAGAUAAGUCGAAUGUGAAAGCCCCCGGCUCAACUGGGGAGGGUCAUUCGAUACUGUUCGACUCGAAGGCAGGAGAGGGAAGUGGAAUUCCCGGUGUAGUGGUGAAAUGCGUAGAUAUCGGGAGGAACACCAGUGGCGAAGGCGACUUCCUGGCCUGUUCUUGACGCUGAGGCGCGAAAGCUAGGGGAGCAAACGGG
rnacentral:rRNA from 1 species